rnacentral:rRNA from 1 species
GUACACACCGCCCGUCGCUACUACCGAUUGAAUGGUCCGGUGAGAACUCGGGAUGGCGGGUUUCCUGGCGGGCAACCGUCGUGGAGCCAUGUCAGAACUUGUUCAAACCUUACCAUUUAGAGGAAGGAGAAGUCGUAACAAGGUUUCCGUAGGUGAACCUGCAGAAGGAUCA